rnacentral:rRNA from 1 species
UGAUCAGCCACACUGGAACUGAGACACGGUCCAGACUCCUACGGGAGGCAGCAGUGGGGAAUAUUGCACAAUGGGCGAAAGCCUGAUGCAGCCAUGCCGCGUGUAUGAAGAAGGCCUUCGGGUUGUAAAGUACUUUCAGUUGUGAGGAAGGGGGUAACGUUAAUAGCGUUAUCUCUUGACGUUAGCAACAGAAGAAGCACCGGCUAACUCCGUGCCAGCAGCCGCGGUAAUACGGAGGGUGCGAGCGUUAAUCGGAAUUACUGGGCGUAAAGCGCAUGCAGGUGGUUCAUUAAGUCAGAUGUGAAAGCCCGGGGCUCAACCUCGGAACUGCAUUUGAAACUGGUGAACUAGAGUGCUGUAGAGGGGGGUAGAAUUUCAGGUGUAGCGGUGAAAUGCGUAGAGAUCUGAAGGAAUACCAGUGGCGAAGGCGGCCCCCUGGACAGACACUGACACUCAGAUGCGAAAGCGUGGGGAGCAAACAGGAUUAGAUACCCUGGUAGUCCACGCCGUAAACGAUGUCUACUUGGAGGUUGUGGCCUUGAGCCGUGGCUUUCGGAGCUAACGCGUUAAGUAGACCGCCUGGGGAGUACGGUCGCAAGAUUAAAACUCAAAUGAAUUGACGGGGGCCCGCACAAGCGGUGGAGCAUGUGGUUUAAUUCGAUGCAACGCGAAGAACCUUACCUACUCUUGACAUCCAGAGAAGCCAGCGGAGACGCAGGUGUGCCUUCGGGAACUCUGAGACAGGUGCUGCAUGGCUGUCGUCAGCUCGUGUUGUGAAA